AGUAGGGUUGACUAAUGGUAAGUCAUCAGGCUCAUUAUCUGAGUAUGCAGGUUCAAGUCCUGCCUCUAUAU
rnacentral:tRNA from 1 species